CCCCACCUUUGUGAGACUACCCUGGUUGUAUCCCCUAGCACCUUCCUCAGGAAAUGAAAACGAAUUCCCUCAGACCAAAGUGGGAACCAGUGCUUCAUCUCUUAUGAAUCUUUGACAUUUAGACUCCUGGAUUUCCUGGCAUCCAAAAUGUUUCUAUGGUCUUCAGAGAUUCCUGGGCUCUGGCCCACUGCGUGUUGGUAAAUCAACCAGAGAAGAGCUUGAAGAAGAUUCUCAUCAAUGAAGGGUAGACUAUCAGAAAGAACUGAAAAGAAAAAAAUCUGGGAUACUUU